CUUACGUUAUGAUGCAAUAGCGAUUUUUUUGUGGAUUUUCGUAAUUUGUACGUCAAAAAAGUGAGAACAUCAAUGUUUGCUUUUCGCGGAAUUAAAUUCAAAAUUAACCGAAGUGGACUACAUUCAAGGUUUUCGCAGUAUUAUGGGGUCAUCUAUGAAUGGAAUUAAUUAAUUGAAAAAAUGAGCGGAAUUAAAUUCAAAAUUAACCGAAGUGGACUACAUUCAAGGUUUUCGCGGUGUUAUGGGGUCAUCUAUGAACGGAAUUAAUUAAUUGAAAA